CAGUAGCCACGGGAAUACAGAGGGUGCGAGCGUUAAUCGGAUUUACUGGGCGUAAAGCGUGCGUAGGCGGCUUCUUAAGUCGGAUGUGAAAUCCCUGAGCUUAACUUAGGAAUUGCAUUCGAUACUGGGAAGCUAGAGUAUGGGAGAGGAUGGUAGAAUUCCAGGUGUAGCGGUGAAAUGCGUAGAGAUCUGGAGGAAUACCGAUGGCGAAGGCAGCCAUCUGGCCUAAUACUGACGCUGAGGUACGAAAGCAUGGGGAGCAAACAGGAUUAGAUACCCCGGUAGUCCCUGUCUCUUAUAC
rnacentral:rRNA from 1 species